rnacentral:rRNA from 1 species
CGUGGCGGACGGGUGAGUAACGCGUGGGUAACCUGCCAUAUACAGGGGGAUAACACUUAGAAAUAGGUGCUAAUACCGCAUAAGCGCACAGGGGCGCAUGCCCCGGUGUGAAAAACUCCGGUGGUAUAUGAUGGACCCGCGUCUGAUUAGCCAGUUGGCAGGGUAACGGCCUACCAAAGCGACGAUCAGUAGCCGGCCUGAGAGGGCGGACGGCCACAUUGGGACUGAGACACGGCCCAAACUCCUACGGAAGGCAGCAG